rnacentral:rRNA from 1 species
AACGAACGCUGGCGGCAGGCCUAACACAUGCAAGUCGAACGCCCCGCAAGGGGAGUGGCAGACGGGUGAGUAACACGUGGGAACGUGCCCUAAGGUUCGGAAUAUUCCCGGGAAACUGGGAGCAAUACCGAAUGUGUCCGCAAGGAGAAAGAUGUAUCGCCUUAGGAUCGGCCCGCGUCGGAUUAGCUAGUUGGUGGGGUAAAAGCCUACCAAGGCGACGAUCCGUAGCUGGUUUGAGAGAACGACCAGCCACACUGGGACUGAGACACGGCCCAGACUCCUACGGGAGGCAGCAGUGGGGAAUCUUGGACAAUGGGCGCAAGCCUGAUCCAGCCAUGCCGCGUGGAUGAUGAAGGCCCUAGGGUUGUAAAAUCCUUUCGUUGGGGACGAUAAUGACGGUACCCAAAGAAGAAGCUCCGGCUAACUUCGUGCCAGCCGCCGCAGUAACAC